rnacentral:ncRNA from 2 species
UUGGGAUGAGCGGGAGAGACCGUUUCUGCUUCAGGACAGGAACGGCGCCGACGGAGCAACCACCCCGGAAACUCUCAGGCAAAAGUACCGCUUUUUUCGU